rnacentral:rRNA from 1 species
UACGUAGGGGGCAAGCGUUGUCCGGAUUUAUUGGGCGUAAAGAGCGUGUAGGCGGUUUGGUAGGUCCGCUGUGAAAACUCGAGGCUCAACCUCGAGACGCCGGUGGAAACCAUCAGGCUAGAGUCCGGAAGAGGAGAGUGGAAUUCCUGGUGUAGCGGUGAAAUGCGCAGAUAUCAGGAGGAACACCUAUGGCGAAGGCAGCUCGCUGGGACGGUACUGACGCUGAGGAGCGAAAGCGUGGGGAGCAAACAGG